GGAAUCUUCCACAAUGGGCGAAAGCCUGAUGGAGCAACGCCGCGUGUGUGAUGAAGGCUUUCGGGUCGUAAAGCACUGUUGUACGGGAAGAACAGCUAGAAUAGGAAAUGAUUUUAGUUUGACGGUACCAUACCAGAAAGGGACGGCUAAAUACGUGCAAG
rnacentral:rRNA from 1 species